rnacentral:lncRNA from 1 species
UUGUUGUUGUCAUCGUUGUUGUUGUUGUUUUUGUUGUUGUUGUUGUUGUUGUUGUUGUUGUUGUUGUUGUCGUCGUCGUCUUUGUUGUUGUUGCUGUUGUUGUUGUUGUUGUUGUUGUUAUUUUCGUUGUUGUUGUUGUUGUUGUUGUUGUCGCUGUUGUCGUUAAUGUCGUUGUUGUCAUUGUUGUUGUUGUUAUCGUUCUUUUCAUUCUUCUCGUCAUUGUCGUUGUUGUCGUCGUUGUUGUCGUCGUCAUCCUUGUGUUUUUUGUUGUUG